rnacentral:rRNA from 1 species
UGUGAGCUCGAUGAGUAGGGCGGGACACGUGGUAUCCUGUCUGAAUAUGGGGGGACCAUCCUCCAAGGCUAAAUACUCCUGACUGACCGAUAGUGAACCAGUACCGUGAGGGAAAGGCGAAAAGAACCCCGGCGAGGGGAGUGAAAAAGAACCUGAAACCGUGUACGUACAAGCAGUGGGAGCACGCUUAGGCGUGUGACUGCGUACCUUUUGUAUAAUGGGUCAGCGACUUAUAUUCUGUAGCAAGGUUAACCGAAUAGGGGAGCCGAAGGGAAACCGAGUCUUAACUGGGCGUUAAGUUGCAGGGUAUAGACCCGAAACCCGGUGAUCUAGCCAUGGGCAGGUUGAAGGUUGGGUAACACUAACUGGAGGACCGAACCGACUAAUGUUGAAAAAUUAGCGGAUGACUUGUGGCUGGGGGUGAAAGGCCAAUCAAACCGGGAGAUAGCUGGUUCUCCCCGAAAGCUAUUUAGGUAGCGCCUCGUGAACUCAUCUCCGGGGGUAGAGCACUGUUUCGGCAAGGGGGUCAUCCCGACUUACCAACCCGAUGCAAACUGCGAAUACCGGAGAAUGUUAUCACGGGAGACACACGGCGGGUGCUAACGUCCGUCGUGAAGAGGGAAACAACCCAGACCGCCAGCUAAGGUCCCAAAGUCAUGGUUAAGUGGGAAACGAUGUGGGAAGGCCCAGACAGCCAGGAUGUUGGCUUAGAAGCAGCCAUCAUUUAAAGAAAGCGUAAUAGCUCACUGGUCGAGUCGGCCUGCGCGGAAGAUGUAACGGGGCUAAACCAUGCACCGAAGCUGCGGCAGCGACGCUUAUGCGUUGUUGGGUAGGGGAGCGUUCUGUAAGCCUGUGAAGGUGUGCUGUGAGGCAUGCUGGAGGUAUCAGAAGUGCGAAUGCUGACAUAAGUAACGAUAAAGCGGGUGAAAAGCCCGCUCGCCGGAAGACCAAGGGUUCCUGUCCAACGUUAAUCGGGGCAGGGUGAGUCGACCCCUAAGGCGAGGCCGAAAGGCGUAGUCGAUGGGAAACAGGUUAAUAUUCCUGUACUUGGUGUUACUGCGAAGGGGGGACGGAGAAGGCUAUGUUGGCCGGGCGACGGUUGUCCCGGUUUAAGCGUGUAGGCUGGUUUUCCAGGCAAAUCCGGAAAAUCAAGGCUGAGGCGUGAUGACGAGGCACUACGGUGCUGAAGCAACAAAUGCCCUGCUUCCAGGAAAAGCCUCUAAGCAUCAGGUAACAUCAAAUCGUACCCCAAACCGACACAGGUGGUCAGGUAGAGAAUACCAAGGCGCUUGAGAGAACUCGGGUGAAGGAACUAGGCAAAAUGGUGCCGUAACUUCGGGAGAAGGCACGCUGAUAUGUAGGUGAAGUCCCUCGCGGAUGGAGCUGAAAUCAGUCGAAGAUACCAGCUGGCUGCAACUGUUUAUUAAAAACACAGCACUGUGCAAACACGAAAGUGGACGUAUACGGUGUGACGCCUGCCCGGUGCCGGAAGGUUAAUUGAUGGGGUCAGCGCAAGCGAAGCUCUUGAUCGAAGCCCCGGUAAACGGCGGCCGUAACUAUAACGGUCCUAAGGUAGCGAAAUUCCUUGUCGGGUAAGUUCCGACCUGCACGAAUGGCGUAAUGAUGGCCAGGCUGUCUCCACCCGAGACUCAGUGAAAUUGAACUCGCUGUGAAGAUGCAGUGUACCCGCGGCAAGACGGAAAGACCCCGUGAACCUUUACUAUAGCUUGACACUGAACAUUGAGCCUUGAUGUGUAGGAUAGGUGGGAGGCUUGGAAGUGUGGACGCCAGUCUGCAUGGAGCCGACCUUGAAAUACCACCCUUUAAUGUUUGAUGUUCUAACGUUGACCCGUAAUCCGGGUUGCGGACAGUGUCUGGUGGGUAGUUUGACUGGGGCGGUCUCCUCCUAAAGAGUAACGGAGGAGCACGAAGGUUGGCUAAUCCUGGUCGGACAUCAGGAGGUUAGUGCAAUGGCAUAAGCCAGCUUGACUGCGAGCGUGACGGCGCGAGCAGGUGCGAAAGCAGGUCAUAGUGAUCCGGUGGUUCUGAAUGGAAGGGCCAUCGCUCAACGGAUAAAAGGUACUCCGGGGAUAACAGGCUGAUACCGCCCAAGAGUUCAUAUCGACGGCGGUGUUUGGCACCUCGAUGUCGGCUCAUCACAUCCUGGGGCUGAAGUAGGUCCCAAGGGUAUGGCUGUUCGCCAUUUAAAGUGGUACGCGAGCUGGGUUUAGAACGUCGUGAGACAGUUCGGUCCCUAUCUGCCGUGGGCGCUGGAGAACUGAGGGGGGCUGCUCCUAGUACGAGAGGACCGGAGUGGACGCAUCACUGGUGUUCGGGUUGUCAUGCCAAUGGCACUGCCCGGUAGCUAAAUGCGGAAGAGAUAAGUGCUGAAAGCAUCUAAGCACGAAACUUGCCCCGAGAUGAGUUCUCCCUGAC